GGAGAGGUGCCAGAGCGGCCGAACGGGCCGGUCUCGAAAACCGGUAGGGGCGCAAGCCCCUCGGGGGUUCGAAUCCCCCCCUCUCCGCCA
rnacentral:tRNA from 1 species